rnacentral:rRNA from 1 species
CCUACGGGGGGCUGCAGUGGGGAAUAUUGCACAAUGGGCGCAAGCCUGAUGCAGCCAUGCCGCGUGUGUGAAGAAGGCCUUCGGGUUGUAAAGCACUUUCAGCGGGGAGGAAGGCGGUGAGGUUAAUAACCUCAUCGAUUGACGUUACCCGCAGAAGAAGCACUGGCUAACUCCGUGCCAGCAGCCGCGGUAAUACGGAGGGUGCAAGCGUUAAUCGGAAUUACUGGGCGUAAAGCGCACGCAGGCGGUCUGUCAAGUCGGAUGUGAAAUCCCCGGGCUCAACCUGGGAACUGCAUUCGAAACUGGCAGGCUAGAGUCUUGUAGAGGGGGGUAGAAUUCCAGGUGUAGCGGUGAAAUGCGUAGAGAUCUGGAGGAAUACCGGUGGCGAAGGCGGCCCCCUGGACAAAGACUGACGCUCAGGUGCGAAAGCGUGGGGAGCAAACAGGAUUAGAUACCCGGGUAGUC